rnacentral:rRNA from 1 species
UACGGAGGGGGCCAGCGUUGUUCGGAAUCAUUGGGCGUAAAGGGCGCCUAGGUGGCCAAGCAAGUCGGAUGUGAAAGCCCUCGGCUCAACCGGGGAAUUGCACCCGAAACUGCAUGGCUCGAGUCCUGGAGAGGGUAGCGGAAUUCCCAGUGUAGCGGUGAAAUGCGUAGAUACUGGGAGGAACACCGGUGGCGAAGGCGGCUACCUGGACAGGUACUGACACUGACGCGCGAAAGCGUGGGGAGCAAACAGG